GGGCGAGGCCGAGGCACAAGUCUGGGCCAGGGGAAAGCUGAGGGAGGAAGAGGCACCAUCCGAAGAGCUGAAGCAGAGACACAGUGAGCAAGUAGGAAUCAGCAUCUACUGCUCCUUCUCCCCACCAUCUUUACCUGGGCCAAAGCAAGAGGCAAUUGAACAGACUGCAGUAGUGAAGAGCAGAAUCAUGUCCAGGAGACUCUUGUCAGUGGACCAACCAUGCCUGCCCUUAAUAACAGCUCUGUAUGCCAACACACCCACCAGAAGUUUAAAGUGUUUGCUUUAUGAACUCUGAGAAAUUAUAGAAGUCUUGGAAGCUGCCUUAUACCAUGCCAGAUCAUUUGUACUUGCUCUGCUGUCACUUCAGCUAAUUACAACAGGGUUAACUUUA